UUUCCAAUUUCCCAACCAGUUAUAUAUAUAUAUAUAUAUAUAUAACAUAUGUAUAUACAUAUACCACACGAAAGUAUAUACUCAGUGGCAGCAAAUAAAUUGGCAGUGAACACCAGAGAUUCGAAAGAAAAAUUCGUAAAAUCCGAAUAAAUUGAUAAAAGCAAAUAUAAAAUAUUCAAGGACAGAGAGUAAAAAUGCUGAUAGCAAAAGGAGUUCUAUAUAUAUGUGUUAGCGUCUGAAAUAUUAUAUACACAUAUAACAUUUAGUAUGUAACAAAUAAAUUUCGCAUACAUACUUACAUACAACUACACAAAAAAAAAACAAGUAUAUAUAAAUAAAUAGAAAUGAAAACCGGAGUUAUAAAAGUAAUAAAAACUAAUUAAUUAAUUGUUUAUAAAAUCAUUAAAGAAAUUAGUAAAUUAUUAAAAUAUUAUUUCACAUAUAAAAAAGCAUACAAUAAAACUAUACACAUUUUAAAUUAAUUUAAAAAUAAAUACAAAUUCGACAAAUGUGUAAAAAUUUACAAAGAUAAAAAAAAUAACAAAAAGGUAAUUAAAUUAAAACACACAAUGAGCUAAUGAUAUAUAAAAUAAAAAUCAGUAAUACAGACACUUCACUAAAAUACACCGCAAAAUUAUAUAAACCAUUGCAACAACAGCAAAACGCAAUGAUAUACCGCAGGAUUGCAUGCCCCAAAGCAGAUCAGAAAGUAUGCAGCAAAAAUAAAUAUGGCAAAUGGCAACAAUGCAACACUGUCAUCGUUUGGAUCGAAUAUUUUUCGGAAACUGCGCUGCAGUAAAGCAACAAUGAGCGAUGAAUUCCAAUAGUAACCAGCGUAAUCUCGCUCGAUGCCUAAGGAGAUCAGCAGCUAUGCGCGAUUACACCGCGAAAAAUCUGUCGGUGGUGAGCAGCUCUUUCACUGAUUGGCAAUUUAUCGCUUAUAACGACAGUUUCACCGCUAACAGCGCACGUGUUCAGCAUGCGUGAGCGAAACAAAUGUAUGCUGUAAAACACAAAGAUAGAAAAACACAAGCAGACAAAUUGAAAAUAAAUAUUAAACACUAAACAAAAAUAAUAUAAUGAAACGAAAUGUAGUAAAAAGCAUGCUAGAAAGAGAAAUGUGCAAAGAAUGACAGAAGAGAGAGAAAGAAAGAAAAAACCUAAAACGAAAAUGCCUUCAAAAUUAAAAGAAAAAAGAAAAAACAAAAUAAUUAACACUAAAAAAGCAAAACAAAAAUAUUUAAAAUUAUAACGAUAUGAGAAUUUCGGCAUACAUAACAAAAACAACAAAAAAACCAAUAAAAUUAACAAAAAUAAAUACUUCAAGAAGAAAAAACAAAUUAAUUUGCAUAUAAAAUGUAUAAGAAUACAGAAAACUAUAAACGUUUGGCUAGUAAAACAAAAGAAAAAUGUAUAGAAAACAUGCGCAAAAUGAAAAACAAAACUUCUACUCCCUUUCAAUCUACACUUAAAUUAGCCUGAAACUCUCCUGGUUAAAAUACCGUAAAUUAAUUAAAAUAAAAUGGUAACCAAAUACCUUUCACAACGCUCAUAUAAUAAUACUUACUAUUAGAUAAUACUCUCUUUGCAUAUACAUACUAAAACAUCAACAACAACAAAGAAACAAAAAAAUUGACAACCUCUAAAAAAACUUUACUCAAUUUCCAAUAAAAUACAAAACAAAAAACAUUUAGUUGCUCCUCUUACGCUUGUAAAAAAAAAAAAGAAGAAUAAAAUAAUUAACUCAUAUUGUCACAACUCCAAACACUCCGCAACGUUGCUGCUUUGAUUGCAGUAAAAAAUGUACAUUAAUUUGGCAAAAUCUGUACGAAAAUGCAUUUUUGAAUUUUUCAAAAUUUUUUACUUGUCUAUUUAUCCAUGGCGAAUUGGCAAAUUGUUUCAAAUUUACAUGCAAACCAAACUAUGAGACACAAUUUUCAGCAAACAACUGGCUAAUCUGUACAAUUUCUUUCUUUUACUCAAAUCUUUCAAUUUUUGAAAUAAAAAAAAAAUUGAAAAAAAACAUACACACAAUGAGCCCUAAUCUCUGAGAUUACACUGAAACGAAGAAAACUGCAAAUACUAUGUGCUGUUAGAAAAUAUAAAAUAAAAUAAAAAACAUGCUUGUGUAUGAAAAAACCAUUGCCAGCAUAUUAAUGGAAAAUUCCAUAGAUUUCGAUAGUCGCAUUAUGUCAGAGAUAUGUACAUAUAUACAUAUACAUAUAUUGUAUAAUAAGCACCAAACAGAAAAUUGUUUCAACAAAAACACCACAAACAGUACAACAUGACCGCAACAACAGAAAACAGCAAACUGGUCUAAACAUAUGUAGGACUCUCUCAAACGAUGUCCUGCCACAAACUUCUUACGCAACCCGAAGGCGACACUAAAGAAGCGAUUCUCAACACUCAACUGCUAGUAGUACAUUGAUGCCUACAUAAUCUUAUUACCCUGAAAACUGUAUGAAAUUCUUAAAAAAUAUUAUAUUUAAGGCGCUAUGAGUACAAUUUUAAGCAUAUAUGUAUAUGUAUUUGUGAAUAUAAUGUUAUGUAUUUGUUUAAGUGGAUUUCUAUAGAUUACAGGUAUGUCUGAUUAUUCAUUAAAUGCACAGAGUUUCAAAAAGCUUAUUAUAAACGUAACGCUUUUUGUUUCAAAAGCUUCCGAAAAAUCUCAUUCAUCUAUAUUACAAAUUUGUAAAAAUUACAAUAAACAGUUUUCGUCAGGCAGUAAAGUCGAUAUUCAUCCAAUCGAUGAAAAUGUUAAAUUCAGUUUUCUGCAAAAAAAUUGAAAAGCUCGAAAACUUUAAAACUUAACUUUUGCGCAAAAGUGUAAAGAAAUGUAUAUGAAUUACAAACAUUCUUCUUUUCGAUGAAAUACUUAGAUUUCAACGCAUAUGAAUAUGACAGAUAUAGUUUGCUCAUAACAAAAUUUGUCUUUAAGGCAAAAAAAUGAGUAUUCAUCCAAUAGAUGAAAAUUCAGAAAGCAGUUUUUUCUUUAUUAUUUUAACCCAAUCAAACUUCCAAAGUUGAAAGAUUAAUUGAACUCUCCUUCUUUUUGGUGUAAUUCAGCAGCGGUUGAGUUAUAAAUGGAUACAAACAAAUUAGAAAAAAA